rnacentral:rRNA from 1 species
GGGGAAUCUUAGACAAUGGGCGCAAGCCUGAUCUAGCCAUGCCGCGUGAGCGAUGAAGGCCUCAGGGUUGUAAAGCUCUUUCGUGGGGGAAGAUAAUGACUGUACCCCAAGAAGAAGCCCCGGCUAACUCCGUGCCAGCAGCUGCGGUAAUACGGAGGGGGCUAGCGUUGUUCGGAAUUACUGGGCGUAAAGCGCACGUAGGCGGACCGGAAAGUCAGAGGUGAAAUCCCAGGGCUCAACCUUGGAACUGCCUUGGAAACUCCCGGUCUUGAGUUCGAGAGAGGUGAGUGGAAUUCCGAGUGUAGAGGUGAAAUUCGUAGAUAUUCGGAGGAACACCAGUGGCGAAGGCGGCUCACUGGCUCGAUACUGACGCUGAGGUGCGAAAGCGUGGGGAGCAAAC